AACGAACGCUGGCGGCAUGCCUAACACAUGCAAGUCGAACGAUGCUUUCGGGCAUAGUGGCGCACGGGUGCGUAACGCGUGGGAAUCUGCCCUUGGGUUCGGAAUAACAGUGAGAAAUUGCUGCUAAUACCGGAUGAUGUCUUCGGACCAAAGAUUUAUCGCCCAGGGAUGAGCCCGCGUAGGAUUAGCUAGUUGGUGGGGUAAUGGCCUACCAAGGCGACGAUCCUUAGCUGGUCUGAGAGGAUGAUCAGCCACACUGGGACUGAGACACGGCCCAGACUCCUACGGGAGGCAGCAGUGGGGAAUAUUGGACAAUGGGCGCAAGCCUGAUCCAGCAAUGCCGCGUGAGUGAUGAAGGCCUUAGGGUUGUAAAGCUCUUUCACCCGGGAUGAUAAUGACAGUACCGGGAGAAUAAGCUCCGGCUAACUCCGUG
rnacentral:rRNA from 1 species